AAACCAACAGGGAUUGCCUCAGUAACGGCGAGUGAAGCGGCAACAGCUCAAAUUUGAAAUCUGGCUCUUUCAGGGUCCGAGUUGUAAUUUGUAGAAGAUGCUUUGGGUGUAGCUCCGGUCUAAGUUCCUUGGAACAGGACGUCAUAGAGGGUGAGAAUCCCGUACGUGACUGGUUGCUUUCGCUCGUGUAAAGCUCUUUCGACGAGUCGAGUUGUUUGGGAAUGCAGCUCAAAAUGGGUGGUAAAUUUCAUCUAAAGCUAAAUAUUGGCCAGAGACCGAUAGCGCACAAGUAGAGUGAUCGAAAGAUGAAAAGCACUUUGGAAAGAGAGUUAAACAGUACGUGAAAUUGUUGAAAGGGAAGCGCUUGCAACCAGACUUGCACGCUGUUGAUCAUCCGAGAUUUUUCCCGGUGCACUCGGCAGUGUUCAGGCCAGCAUCGGUUUUGGUGGGCGGAUAAAGGCCUUGGGAAUGUAGCUUCUUUCGGGGAGUGUUAUAGCCCUCGGUGCAAUGCGCCCUACCGGGACCGAGGACCGCGCUUCGGCUAGGAUGCUGGCGUAAUGGUUGUAAGCGAC
rnacentral:rRNA from 1 species